rnacentral:rRNA from 1 species
CCUACGGGGGGCAGCAGUGGGGAAUAUUGCACAAUGGGCGCAAGCCUGAUGCAGCCAUGCCGCGUGUGUGAAGAAGGCCUUCGGGUUGUAAAGCACUUUCAGCGGGGAGGAAGGCGGUGAGGUUAAUAACCUCAUCGAUUGACGUUACCCGCAGAAGAAGCACCGGCUAACUCCGUGCCAGCAGCCGCGGUAAUACGGAGGGUGCAAGCGUUAAUCGGAAUUACUGGGCGUAAAGCGCACGCAGGCGGUCUGUCAAGUCGGAUGUGAAAUCCCCGGGCUCAACCUGGGAACUGCAUUCGAAACUGGCAGGCUAGAGUCUUGUGGAGGGGGGUAGAAUUCCAGGUGUAGCGGUGAAAUGCGUAGAGAUCUGGAGGAAUACCGGUGGCGAAGGCGGCCCCCUGGACAAAGACUGACGCUCAGGUGCGAAAGCGUGGGGAGCAAACAGGAUUAGAUACCCCGGUAGUC